UACGGAGUGUGCAAGCGUUACUCGGAAUCACUGGGCAUAAAGAGCACGUAGGCGGGGAGGUGUGUCGGUGGUGAAAGCCCCCAGCUCAACUGGGGAACGGCCUCCGAAACUAUCUCUCUUGAGGCCGAGAGGGGAGAGUGGAACUUCUGGUGGAGCGGUGAAAUGCGUAGAUAUCAGAAGGAACACCGGUGGCGAAAGCGACUCUCUGGCUCGGUUCUGACGCUGAGGUGCGAAAGCGUGGGUAGCAAACAGG
rnacentral:misc_RNA from 1 species